AGAUUAAGUUAUUAAGGGCGCACGGUGGAUGCCUUGGCACUAGAAGCCGAUGAAGGACGUUACUAACGACGAUAUGCUUUGGGGAGCUGUAAGUAAGCUUUGAUCCAGAGAUUUCCGAAUGGGGAAACCCAGCAUGAGUUAUGUCAUGUUAUCGAUAUGUGAAUACAUAGCAUAUCAGAAGGCACACCCGGAGAACUGAAACAUCUUAGUACCCGGAGGAAGAGAAAGAAAAUUCGAUUCCCUUAGUAGCGGCGAGCGAAACGGGAAGAGCCCAAACCAACAAGCUUGCUUGUUGGGGUUGUAGGACACUCUAUACGGAGUUACAAAGGACGACAUUAGACGAAUCAUCUGGAAAGAUGAAUCAAAGAAGGUAAUAAUCCUGUAGUCGAAAAUGUUGUCUCUCUUGAGUGGAUCCUGAGUACGACGGAGCACGUGAAAUUCCGUCGGAAUCUGGGAGGACCAUCUCCUAAGGCUAAAUACUCUCUAGUGACCGAUAGUGAACCAGUACCGUGAGGGAAAGGUGAAAAGCACCCCGGAAGGGGAGUGAAAGAGAUCCUGAAACCGUGUGCCUACAAGUAGUCAGA
rnacentral:rRNA from 1 species